GAUGAACGCUGGCGGCGUGCCUAAUACAUGCAAGUCGAGCGAACGGACGAGAAGCUUGCUUCUCUGAUGUUAGCGGCGGACGGGUGAGUAACACGUGGAUAACCUACCUAUAAGACUGGGAUAACUUCGGGAAACCGGAGCUAAUACCGGAUAAUAUUUUGAACCGCAUGGUUCAAAAGUGAAAGACGGUCUUGCUGUCACUUAUAGAUGGAUCCGCGCUGCAUUAGCUAGUUGGUAAGGUAACGGCUUACCAAGGCAACGAUGCAUAGCCGACCUGAGAGGGUGAUCGGCCACACGGGAACUGAGACACGGCCGAGACUCUUACGGGAGGCAGCAGUGGGGAAUCUUCCGCAAGGGGCGAAAGCCUGACGGAGCAACGCCGCGUGAGUGAUGAAGGUCUUCGGAUCGUAAAACUCUGUUAUUAGGGAAGAACAAAUGUGUAAGUAAAUAUGCACUUCUUGACGGUACCUAAUCAGAAAGCCACGGCUAACUACGUG
rnacentral:rRNA from 1 species